CGUUGAUCGCGUUCAGUGAACUCAUUCUCUAUUGAGCACCUACCGUACUUGUCUUGAUGUCACACACACCAAUGACUCGAGACUUAUCACUCUCCCUGAGAGAAGACAUAGUACGUACUGAUCUUAACGGACUGUCAAUGCCCAAUUGGCAAUCCUAUGAUCAGGAACGUUUAGGAUGUGUCUACGAAAGAAUGGUCUCAUGAAUCUAACUUCAUUAGAUUACAUUCUCCCAAUCACAUAUUCCUUGGACUUUAUUGUUUAAGCAUAUAACAUUUAUAUGAGACGGCUCAAACAAUAAUCUUUGCCCUUUAUAUGUAAAACUAGAUUAGUUUAACAUGUGAAAUGUCCGUAAAGUAUCAUCACAUGAUUGGCUUUAGGGCACAUUUCCAACAGGAUGACUAUGAACCUUUGUUUAGAUUCAACACAGUGUUGAAUCUCGGUCUAGGGAUGGUUAUUGAUUUUAGUUACGCGUUUAAUCACAUUAAGGCGUGUUGUCUUAGGGGCGUUGGACCCAACUACUUCAUUUUCAUGCAUAUCAAAUGAAGCAAGAAAGAAGUACUUCAAAGUAAAGGUGAGCUUAUGCUCAUUACAACAUUUGAACAAUUCAAAUUACUUUAAAGUAAAGAAGAGCUUAAGCUCUUUUACAACAUUUGAUCAAAUCAAAUUACAACCAAAAUCUAAUCUACACAUUCCCAUGGUUCAAACAAAUUUGAAACGGUCUUUCACAUAGCUCAAUUAUCGUAGGCUUAGGUUCAUAAUCACCCUUUAAUUAAUUAACACUUUAACUAAUUAAAUUGAAUGCAACAUUUUCAUUUGGUUUUUGUAUCCAUAAAAUUGAUUUAAAUGGAGCUAAAUAAAAUGAAAAUCCAAUUCUCAUUUAAAGAGACAAAACAAUUUUGUUCUCAACCUAAUUUGGGCCAAAAUGCAAUUACCACAACUUUUGGGCUAUAUUGCAAAAACACAAACUUUUGGGGUCACUUUGUAAAAACACAAAAGUCCACUACUUCAUGUAAUUACAACUAGAACCCAGAAAUUUCAAUAAAUUCAAAACUUCAUUAAAGGAGCAAAACAAUUUGUCCUUUAGCGUUUUAGGCCUUAACGUCAAAACGUAAACUUUAGGGUCAAAAUAUAAAUACACAAAAGUAUCAAAACUUUAUGUAAUUGCAUAAAAGCCCCAAAAAUACCCUAUUUUAAUAGGGUGGCCGGUUUUAGGGAGAAAAAGGAGUGGAGAUAAGUCCAAAAAAAUUUGGAAAUUUUUCAACUAAGUCAUAAAUCCAUGCAAGAUAUUUGUGACAUAAAUUCAUGCAAGUGGUGUGUGUGAAAGGAAAUUAAUCCUUUCACACCCACCAAUAUUUCUUACACCUUUUAAAUAAAUAUCUAACACAUUUAAAUAUAUAAGAUAAAUCAUAAAACAAACACUUUAUAAAAUUAUCCAAAACUUUGAAUCAAAACACCAAACCUUUUUGUUCUUGGCUAAAAUGUCAAGAACAAUGAAGAACAUUCAUGAAAAACCCAAAAAAUUUCCAUGAACAUUUUUCAUCCAAAAACAUCCCAAAACCACUCAAACUUUAGGGAAAUAACAUACAACCAUACUAGGGUACAUAGGGGUUCCAAAAGUCACUUGAAAACACUUUUAACAAGUCAAACAAGAACCCAAAAAACCACCCUUUGGAUUUGGCCGAAUUUUCCCAAAAACAUGGCACCAAAUUUUAGCUCCAAUAUUCAUGCUCAUAUGAACUACAUCUACAACAUUUGAGAUGGCAAAUUUUCUACCAAAAUUUAAAUUCAAAGAAACAAGAAUAAAGCUUGUAACAUAUUACAACUUUUAAAUCAAAACUAUGAACUACAAAACCCAAAAGGAUUCACCAACUACUAGACCUAGGCUCUGAUACCACUUGAAGGAAAUAUUUGUAAAACAUGUUCAUUUGAGCAACAUCAUAUAGCAUGCUAUUAACAAUUAAAAGGCGGAAUCAUGCUUGCAUGCACUUAAAAACAAAACAUUAACCAUGAAAUUCAAAGCCUAGUAGAUUGGUGAACCAAGACUCAACUCAAAUCAAAGUGAGUUGAGAAAUUUAUACCUUUGUAGAUUCCUCUUUGCUUAAGCAAAGGCUAAUCACCCAAAGAGAGGGCCUUCAUUGCUUGCAUCUUAGAUCCAUGGAUUUGGAUGGAAGAAUAGAUUCUCCAAGUUCCCAAAAUUGAGAACCUCUAAGUUUCCACACCAAGGAUGGAUUGAUGAAGAAAUGAGUGACCUAGAGUAAGCAAGAUUGCUAGUUAAUUUCCUCUAGGGUGGCCGGCCUCUUUAGAGAGAAAAGAGAGCUUUGUGUUCUCAUCUUUUCUCAAAAAGAAACCCUAAAUGAAUUUUUUUUGGCUAUAAAGUCAUAUUUAUACGAUUCAUUGGAGUGGCAAACUUGUAAAUAAGUCCAAAACCCACUCCAUCUCUAAAUGGCCGGCCAUAGGGAUUCAUUGGACUAUUUGGGCCUUUGUGAAUCAUUAUUCAUUAAGUUGUCAUACAACUUAAGUCAAUGGACUUGACGUUCGAAGCCCAUUGGGCCUUAAGGUCCAAAACUAUCCCGAGGUCUUUAACGAACUUAUUCGUUUGAUUAAUUAACAUAUUAAUUAAUCCUUGCCAUAAAUAAUUAAACCAUUUAAUUAUUCUUACUCAUCUCCGUUGUUUCUUCAAUCUUUACCUUACACGGUGUACGAUCCAUUAGGUUCCUUUUAGCGAGGCAGUGGGCGAUUAGAACCCUUUUAAACCGAUUGUGAAUUGAAACUUACUUUCAAUUCUCCCUUUAGUGAUUAUACACGUUUAGGGCUUCCACAAACCAUGAGUGACACCUAGCAACAUAUCAUGGUUACCCAAGCUAAUCAGAAGAGGUGGAGAACCUAUUCAGUUUAGGAUUACAAAUGCAAUACGGUCUUUCUCUAAUACAAUACUCUUGACCACAUUGUUUGGUUUGAUAGUUUAUUCAUGUCUACUAUCCAAUGUGAUUCGUGUGCUUAUAUGAUUACCUUGAAUGUGAUUUGGAACGACUUCCUAAAUCUCAUUCAUACUCUGAACAGAGAUUCUUAAUCAUAUCAUAGAGUAUUCUCCCUCAAACGGUUUGAAGGUUAGAGUUCCCUUGUUGCGCAUUCACUUGCCUCCAUAGCUAAGUGGUUUAACCCCAACUAUGCCGUGGACACCCUCCUGAUGGAGUGACUUUGACAUAAUCAAAGAUCAAGGACUUAACCACAAGACAACUAUGAUGCCUCGGGUCAAAGGACUACUUUGCAUUAUCCCAACCAUGAGUUCUCAUGUGACAUGAAUAUGAGAACUCUUCGUUGAUCGUGUUUAGUGAACUCAUUCUCUAUUGAGCACCUACAUACUUGUCUUGAUGUCACACACACCAAUGACUCUAGAUUAGUCACUCUCCCUGAGAGAAGACAUAACACGUACUGAUCUUAACGGACUGUCAAUGCCCAAUUGGCAAUCCUAUGAUCAGGAACGUUUAGGAUGUGUCUACGAAAGAAUGGUCUGAUGAAUCUAACUUCUUUAGAUUGCAUUCUACCAAUCACAUAUUCCUUGGACUUAUCGUUUAAACAUAUAACAUUUAUAUGAGACGACUCAAACAAUAAUCUUUGCCCUUUAUAUUUAAACUACAUUAGUUUAACUUUGUGAAAUGUCCGUAAAGUAUCAUCAUACGAUUGGUUUUAGGGCACAUUUCCAACAGACUAAUCUUCAACAUUUAAAACCAUUGUAUGUCACGGGCCAUAUUGAAGGCUACCCAAUCUCCAAGAUUUUCAUAGAUUGCGGAGCGGUAGGCAAUAUCAUGCCUGUAUCUGUCGAGAAAGCACUACGACGAUCCACCGACGAACUCAUUCCUUCAGGAAUCACCAUGCGUAGCUUUGUCGGUGACAAGUCUCAGACCAAAGGGGUACUUCCUCUAGAGGUCAACAUUGCAGGUCGCAAUCACAUGACCGUAUUUUUUAUCGUCGACUUAAAAACCGAAUACAAUGCUUUGCUCGGUAGGGAUUGGAUUCAUCAAACGAAUUGCAUUCCUUCGUCUUUAUACCAAGUCUUCAUUUUUUGGGAUGGUAAAUAGGUCAUGGUCCACCCAGCUGAUACUCAGCCGUUUGAAACCAACAUGAUUCAGGCCCGCUAUUAUGAUGAUCACGUCGGCUAUAUUACCCUACAAGGUUUUAAUGCAGAUGGACGGCCGACUUGGAUCUCAGUCCAGAAAGCCAUUGAGGUAGGCGCCAAGGCUAUCUACCAGGAUUCGACGAGACUCGGUUUGGCUAAUUUGCUCCCAACCACUAAUGACUGACAUCAACAACGAAAGGCGUUGGGUCGCGGUUUCAUCCACGAUGGAAUGCCUGCUGGCCCAUUGGUAUGCUAUUUCUAAGCACCCGUAUUCGGGCAUCAACUUAAUCGAAUUCCUGGCCGAGGAAGAUAACGGCCCAGUACUAUCGUUAGACAAAGUUCAGGCCGCACCGGUCGAACUCGAAGACAAUCGGCCCCAAGUUAAAGAUCUUCUAGAGGAAAUCAAUGUUGGGACAGCCGAUGAUCCUCGGCCCAUUAGACUUGAUGUUCGAAGCCCAUUGGGCCUUAAGGUCCAAAACUAUCCCGAGGUCUUUAACGAACUUAUUCGUUUGAUUAAUUAACAUAUUAAUUAAUCCUUGCCAUAAAUAAUUAAACCAUUUAAUUAUUCUUACUCAUCUCCGUUGUUUCUUCAAUCUUUACCUUACACGGUGUACGAUCCAUUAGGUUCCUUUUAGCGAGGCAGUGGGCGAUUAGAACUCUUUCAAACCGAUUGUGAAUUGAAACUUACUUUCAAUUCUCCCUUUAGUGAUUAUACACAUUUAGGGCUUCCACAAACCAUGAGUGACACCUAGCAGCAUAUCAUGGUUACCCAAGCUAAUCAGAAGAGAGUGGAGAAACCUAUUCAGUUUAGGAUUACAAAUGCAAUACGGUCUUUCUCUAAUACAAUACUCUUGACCACAUUGUUUGGUUUGAUAGUUUAUUCAUGUCUACUAUCCAAUGUGAUUCGUGUGCUUAUAUGAUUACCUAGAAUGUGAUUUGGAACGACUUCCUAAAUCUCAUUCAUACUCUGGCCAGAGAUUCUUAAUCAUAUCAUAAAGUAUUCUCCCCCAAACGGUUUGAAGGUUAGAGAUCCCUUGUUGCGCAUUCACUUGCCUCCAUGGCUAAGUGGCUUAACCCCGACGAUGCCGUGGACACCCGCGGAUGGGGUGACUUUGACAUAAUCAAAGAUCAAGUACCUAACCACAAGACAACUAUGAUGCUUCAGGUCAAAGGACUACUUUGCAUUAUCCUAACCAUGAGUUCUCAUGUGACAUGAAUAUGAGAACUCUUUGUUGAUCGUGUUCAGUGAACUCAUUCUCUAUUGAGCACAUACGUACUUGUCUUGAUGUCACACACACCAAUGACUCGAGACUAGUCACUCUCCCUAAGAGAAGACACAGCACGUACUGAUAUUAACGGACUGUCAAUGCCCAAUUGGCAAUCCUAUGAUUAGGAACAUUUAGGAUGUGUCUACGAAAGAAUGGUCUCAUGAAUCUAUCUUCUUUAGAUCACAUUCUCCCAAUCACAUAUUCCUUGGACUUAUAGUUUAAGCGUAUAACAUUUAUAUGAGACGGCUCAAACAAUAAUCUUUGCCCUUGAUAUUAAACUAGAU
rnacentral:lncRNA from 1 species